ACUCAAAUGAAUUGACGGGGACCCGCACAAGCGGUGGAGCAUGUGGUUUAAUUCGAGGCAACGCGAAGAACCUUACCAGGACUUGACAUCCCUUCUAAACCUUAUGUAAUGUAAGGCUCAGCUCGGCUGGGGAGGAGACAGGUGCUGCAUGGCUGUCGUCAGCUCGUGUCGUGAGAUGUUGGGUUAAGUCCCGCAACGAGCGCAACCCUCAUCAUUAGUUACCAGCGGGUCAUGCCGGGGACUCUAAUGAAACUGCCCAUGACAAGUGGGAGGAAGGCGAGGAUGACGUCAAGUCAGCACGGCCCUUACGUCCUGGGCCACACACGUGCUACAAUGGUGGUGACAAUGGGCAGCAACGUCGCGAGGCGAAGCUAAUCUCAAAAAACCAUCUCAGUUCGGAUUGCACCCUGCAACUCGGGUGCAUGAAGCUGGAAUCGCUAGUAAUCGCAUAUCAGCAGGAUGCGGUGAAUACGUUCCCGGGUCUUGCACACACCGCCCGU
rnacentral:rRNA from 1 species